rfam:Schistosoma curassoni strain Dakar, Senegal genome assembly, scaffold: SCTD_scaffold0006353
AUCGAACUGACUGGUCCCAAAUAGGACGAAACGCGCGUCCUGAAU